AUUGAACGCUGGCGGCAUGCCUUACACAUGCAAGUCGAACGGCAGCACGGGAGCAAUCCUGGUGGCGAGUGGCGAACGGGUGAGUAAUAUAUCGGAACGUGCCCAGUCGUGGGGGAUAACGCAGCGAAAGCUGUGCUAAUACCGCAUACGAUCUAUGGAUGAAAGCGGGGGAGCGCAAGACCUCGCGCGAUUGGAGCGGCCGAUAUCAGAUUAGGUAGUUGGUGGGGUAAAGGCUCACCAAGCCGACGAUCUGUAGCUGGUCUGAGAGGACGACCAGCCACACUGGAACUGAGACACGGUCCAGACUCCUACGGGAGGCAGCAGUGGGGAAUUUUGGACAAUGGGCGCAAGCCUGAUCCAGCAAUGCCGCGUGCAGGAUGAAGGCCUUCGGGUUGUAAACUGCUUUUGUACGGAACGAAAAGGCUCUGGUUAAUACCUGGGGCUCAUGACGGUACCGUAAGAAUAAGCACCGGCUAACUACGUGCCAGCCGCCGCAGUAAGAC
rnacentral:rRNA from 1 species